rnacentral:tRNA from 1 species
UCCUUGGUGGUCUAGCAGCUAAGGAUCCUGUGCUUUCACUGCUGUAGCCUGGGUUUGAUUCCCAGGCAGGGAA